GCCAGUUGUAUCUUGUCCAGAAGCAGAACUUGAGGAAGCUUUUGACUUGUUCUUAAGCAGGUCUCCAGCAAUUAAGGGCCGGCAUGUCUGGUCUACACGGCAACAUGUGUGGAACACCAUGACCUGGUAUUGGAGCUGCAGCUGGUAAAUUGUUGGGCUGAAAACCAAUAUUGUUAGCCGGUGGCCCUUCAAGGGGUGGCCGAAAGUAACCUUCCUGCCCAAAAGAAGGGCCAGCAUGUGUAGGGGUUCUUCCGCUCAUCCAUGUGCCAUGCUGAUUAUCUGUGUUAAAUUCACUUGAAGGCAUUCUCCAAAGUUCAUCACUAACAAAUCGCCUUCGUCCAUCAGGAUGAGAAGGCAUAGUGUACGGACGAGGAUAUGAAUGCUGAGGAUGUUGCUGAAUAGCA
rnacentral:misc_RNA from 1 species